UGAAAAGUGCAGACGGCUGUAGCAGACCUUGCGGAACUGACUGAACACUUGGAAGUAAUUGCCGGUCUUG
rnacentral:snoRNA from 1 species